rnacentral:rRNA from 2 species
GGGUGCGAUCAUACCAGCACUAAUGCACCGGAUCCCAUCAGAACUCCGCAGUGAAGCGUGCUUGGGCGAGAGUAGUACUAGGAUUGGUGACCUCCUGGGAUGUCCUCGUGUUGCACCCC